GACGAACGCUGGCGGCGUGCCUAAUACAUGCAAGUUGAGCGAUGAAGAUUGGUGCUUGCACCAAUUUGAAGAGCAGCGAACGGGUGAGUAACGCGUGGGGAAUCUGCCUUUGAGCGGGGGACAACAUUUGGAAACGAAUGCUAAUACCGCAUAACAACUUUAAACAUAAGUUUUAAGUUUGAAAGAUGCAAUUGCAUCACUCAAAGAUGAUCCCGCGUUGUAUUAGCUAGUUGGUGAGGUAAAGGCUCACCAAGGCGAUGAUACAUAGCCGACCUGAGAGGGUGAUCGGCCACAUUGGGACUGGGACCCGGCCCCAACUCCUACGGGAGGCAGCAGUAGGGAAUCUUCGGCCAUGGACGAAAGUCUGACCGAGCAACGCCGCGUGAGUGAAGAAGGUUUUCGGAUCGUAAAACUCUGUUGGUAGAGAAGAACGUUGGUGAGAGUGGAAAGCUCAUCAAGUGACGGUAACUACCCAGAAAGGGACGGCUAACUACGUG
rnacentral:rRNA from 1 species